CCUCCUGGGCGUUGGAAUGUGGUGUUUAGGUUGGCGCUUUUGAGUAUUACUCCGUUUAAAGUCCAUUCUUGAAUAUGGCUAUUAGUUUGGCCGAAAGAUGGUGAACUGUCCCUGUGGAUGGAGUGAUGCUUGACUGUGCUAGCUGAAGAGUCGGGUUGUUUGAGAACGCAGCCCAAAGUUGGUGGUAAACUCCAUCUAAGGCUAAAUACUGGCACGAGUCCGAUAGCGAACAAGUACCGUGAGGGAAAGUUGAAAAGUACUCUGAAGAGAGAGUUAACAGUGCGUGAAACCGCUUAGAAGCAAACGGGUGUAGUCAAGCUGCAAGCCUUGAGAAAUAGGGUGGUCAGUAUGGCGUGAGCCUGAGCGCAUAGAGCUGGUGUGCUGGGUCCGACUGCAUGUUGGGUAUGGCCCUAUGGGUUGUAUUUGCGAAGUGCUAUUUGGCGCUGCAAGCCUGUUCACCAGUGCUCUGCUGAUCAUCUCAUUUUCUUUUGGCGUAUGUCACGACCGUCGUCGCUGUCGGUCUGCUCCAUUUAAACCGUUUCGUUGGCAGUCUCGUGCUACUAGCGUUGCGGGGGCAGGUAGCCGAUCGAGUUUACGCUUGGUUGGUCUAAUUGCUGAGUGGAGUGGUACUGUGCAGUGCGAUGGGGCUGGCGGUGCAUUGUUGCUGAGCUCGCUAUAAGGGUGUCGGCGUGGCUUGUGUAUGGCUGCUUGCUGCUGUUUAAUGACGGCCUUGCAGUUGCCUAGCUACGGUUUGAUGCCUGGCUGAGUUUGGUCAAAUCUUGCAUUGUGCCUACAGUCUGUGGUGUAGUGGUAGACGAUCCACCCGACCCGUCUUGAAACACGGACCAAGGAGUUUAACAUGUACGCGAGUCAAUGGGGUGCUUACGGAAACUCAUAGGCGCAGUGAAAGUAAAGGAUGGGUUUUCGCCCUAUCUGAGGUGAGAUCUUGCCGUGUCUCUGGUCGUGGAUUGUUCAAGUUCUGGAAG
rnacentral:rRNA from 1 species